rnacentral:lncRNA from 1 species
UUUGUCCAGAUUUGAAAGACAUGUUUAGAAUUCAUUUUGGUUAAAAUGAAAUGUUUGAAAAUCAUUUUGCUUUAAAUUAAAGAUGCAUGGUUUGAUAAAUAUGAUUUUAUGAGAGAAGCCAAGUCUUGAAUCAAUUGUCGGAUCAAGAUCACAAUUAUAGAACAACUCAUGUAUAACUUUGUUGCUUUACUAUAUCUUGAUCUUUGUUUCU